GACGUAGGGCGCGAGCGUUGUCCGGAUUUAUUGGGCGUAAAGAGCUCGUAGGCGGCUUGUUGCGUCGACUGUGAAAACCCGCGGCUUAACCGCGGGCUUGCAGUUGAUACGGGCAGGCUAGAGUUCGGUAGGGGAGACUGGAGUUCCUGGUGUAGCGGUGAAAUGCGCAGAUAUCAGGAGGAACACCGGUGGCGAAGGCGGGUCUCUGGGCCGAUACUGACGCUGAGGAGCGAAAGCGUGGGGAGCAAACAGG
rnacentral:rRNA from 1 species